rnacentral:rRNA from 1 species
GACGAACGCUGGCGGCGUGCUUAACACAUGCAAGUCGAACGAUGAAGAAAAGAAUCGAAGCUUCGGCAGAAAUUUAUUUCGGAUUAGUGGCAGACGGGUGAGUAACGCGUGAGCAACCUACCUCUUACAAAGGGAUAGCCUCGGGAAACCGGGAUUCAUACCAUAUAACAUUGCGACGAAGCAUUUCGCUGCAAUCAAAGCUACGGCGGUAAGAGAUGGGCUCGCGUCCCAUUAACCGGAUGGUGAGGUAACGGCUCACCAUAGUGACGAUGGGUAACCGGCCUGAGAGGGUAAACGGUCACACUGGAACUGAGACACGGUCCAGACUCCUGCGGGAGGCAGCCAUGGGGAAUAUUGCACAAGGGAAGGAACUCGGAUGCAGCGACGCCGCGUGAAUGAUGAAGGAAUUCGUUUCGUAAAACUCUGUUCUAUGGGAAGAAAAGGACUGUACCAUAGGAGAAAGCUCCGGCUAAAUACGUG